AGAAACACAAUUCUACCAGCCCUCCGCAAAUUUGAGUCGAUUUCGACAUGAAGGUAUGACUCAGUCACUUUGCUUUAGUCAUUUGAUUAUUUUCAAUUUCCUAACUCAAUAAUAUGUUUUCCCUCAAGGUCUUCUUCUCUUGGGAGGCUGUGAUAAUGUCAAUGUUAUUUCUUUGGUUUCAUUUUUUGUUUUAUUCAUAUUUUUAAGUGAUGAUGAUUUUCUUUCAUUUUUGUUUUAUUCAGAUUGGUUUAAUUAAUUAUGAGUUAUUUCUUAAAUUGGAUGUGAGAUUAUGAUAUUGUAGGUGAAAGAAGUAUUUUUCAAAGAAGGAUCCUUGUAAUCCCAGGUGGGAGAAAAAAGCUCAAUUCACAAUUGUGUUUUAAGAAAAAAAUUGCUUGAGGAUAGUUACGGUCGUUUUUGUGCAACAAUUUUAUGGGAUAUCUGUUGAGUCAUUUUCUUUUAGUUGGUGAGUUCAUCAAAUAAUAUUUGAACCCAUAGCUGGAUACUAUGUUUAAAUUUUGAAUUUUUUAAAAAUUAAAUUGCUUAUGAAUGGGUUGUUCUUCAUGGUUUUUUUUUGCUUAUAAAAGAUACACUGACAAUUUGAAGCGAGUGGGGAAAGUUAGAAAAGUUUCAUUUGUAUCUAUUUAUUAACUCUUUCGAAAGAUGGGUAAUCUCCGGAAUAGCUAUUUAUGAUAUUAUGCAAUUUGUAUAGUCGGAUGUACAUACAGUAUGCAUGAGAUUAACCGCUUCAAUGGGAUCUUUUAUUUUGGCAUGCAGAAAGAUUACCAAACGCCUCGCAUUCACUCACUCUUGGUGCCAAUGAUUCUUUUUUUUUCGAGAAAAAAUGAAAGACCAUGCAUGCGCCGUAUGAAUAUUAAGUAGUAAUAGCAUGACACUUCGAGUUCAAUAUGCAAAAAAAAUGUUUUUUUUUUCAAAACAAUUCAACUUAUCGGAAGGGUAGUAUGAACAAGGGGGUAUUUACAAUUUUAUACAUAUUAUUUCAUAUGUGAGUUUUCAGGACCGUUGGAUAUUCAGCAGACUUUUAAUCUUAGUCGUUCAAUAUUCCCCUUGAACUUCCUUCAUCAAUGUUAGUAUAUAACUUUAUACUAUUAAGCUAAAAAUUAUUUUAAAUAAAUUUAUUAUUAUUUAAUUUAUAUGAGUUAUGGAAUGUCAUGGGUCAAAAUUAAUAUUAAAUAUGAUAUUAGUUGUGAAUUCCAUAAGACACAAAUUAUUGGUUUAGAAUUGUUGAAAUAUUAAUCAGCCAAUAAUUAAUAUUAAUAAUAAACUUAAAAAAAAACUCAUAUCCCUUCAUUGUGAACUUCCUUCUUCAAUGUCAUUCUGUAGACUUCUACUAUUAAUUCAAAAUUAUUAUAAAUAAAUUUAUUAUUAUUUAUUUUAUAUAAGUUAUGAAAUUCAAAAAUGUAUCUGAAUACUAAAUAAGAUCUCACCAAAAGAAAAAACAAAUAUCACUAACCUUUAUACCUACAAUUAUAUAAAUAAGUGUCAAUACUCAUUCAACAUGUGUCACAUAUGCUUUGAGGUAUUUGCUUUUAUUUUCUAAAAGGCUCAAGAUUCAAGACAUUUUACGAAGAACAUAUAUCCAACGACUAACUAUUGAUGUACUGUCCUAAAAUGUUUACUUGUGUUAUAACAUGCUUUUUUAUUUCAUGAUGAUCUUCAACUUGAUUCCAUCAUGUAAAAUUGAAACACCUAAAAAAUUAUGUUCUCUUUGAUUUGCUCAACUUUUUGUUAUGUAGGAUGACUUAAACUUUGCACAAGGUACCGAAUAUUUUUGUAGGAAAGAUCGAAUGGAAGAUUAAAGUUCGUGUGCUCCAUGUGUGGGAAACAGGAGAUUUAAAAAAACCUCAAAUUGUUAAUAGUAUUGAACUGCUCUUAAUCAUUGAAUAGGUAUUUUGAUUUCUUUGUUUUCACCACUUUCAUGGUACCUAAUUCAAACUUUUUAUUGUUACCAUAACAAACGUGAAUUUUUAAAAUUGUAGUUUUUCAUUUUGAAAA
rnacentral:lncRNA from 1 species